UAUGAGCAAAUCAUCAAGCUUUGCCAAGUUUUAGCCCAAUCCAACACUCCUAGUGAGGUCUCCUUCAUCAUUUGAUUUCUGGACCAGGUUUGGCAUUUGUACUGCUACUAUGCUAAAUCCUUGUCCUAAUGACCCCCAACUUACCAGGAUCGUAGUCCUUGCUACCCUAAACCUCCCAUACUUCCCGUUUAGUUCUUAAUCUCACCAGUUAGAUCACCAAGAUGUGGCCAAGUUUGCAACAGCAAACUUGUCGAGCUUGUUCCCCUCUGCUCCCUACACUUCUGCUCGUGCCAUCACCUCUUCUUUGAUGAGCCUUGGAGGGACUCCACUGAUGAAAAGGUUUGGCAUGAAGUAGAUGUCCAGAGCGCGUGUUGUCCUUGGUGACCACGGGCAUUGCCAGCCAAAUCGGUGGUCAAGCCACUGUUCUCGUCGGCAGCCCUGCUCCGGCCGGUUCUGGCUUGUCCAAGCGUGUCACACAGCUUCCCCUCGACGUCGUCUUCCCCCUGGAGCUCGUUCCCCCUUCGUUUGCUUCCUCGUUGAGCCGUCGCCAUCACCGAACACAGUGAGCGCCUGUGUGCGCCAUCGUUUCCUCGCUCCUGUCCGCUUCCUCCUCUCGUCCGAGAACUUUGCUUGAUUCUGUGACCUCCUGGCGCUCGUCCGCGUCCCCCUCGUCGCCUUUCCGCCCCUUCCCGUGAGUCUUGGCCGCGCGUGCGCAUCGCCAGUGCACGGACACGUAGCCGCGCCGUGUGUCACCUCCUCCCCUCCCUCUCAAGCCAUCCCCGCGGCUAUUUAAGCACGCCUCGAGCUUCAUCGCGGUCCACAACCCCCUCCCAGAGCCUCUCCCCGAGCCCAGAGCCCCUCUCUGACCCCCACCGCCGCCGUGGUCGCCGCCUCGGGUCCCUCUGAUUCCGGCGACCAGGAGUCCCCCUCGCCGUUCCACCUCCACCACGGCAUCACCUGAGGUCUGGCGAGCCUCCCCGUGGCCUCAGCCUCGCCGUUCCCCCACCGGAGCACCUUGUUCGCCGGCGGCCGAAGCCACCUCCGCCGUGAGCCCUGCUGCUCCUUUCCCAGUCCCCCUCGCUGGCAACGGAGACCAUCCCGAGAUGCGCCUCUCGCUCCUGAACUCAUGGGUAAGUCGGCCGUCGUCUGCGGUGGCCGAAGUCGCCGUCAAUCGCCGUCGAGGCGAGCCCCUCCCUCGGCCAGGCGCGCGCACGAGCGGGAGGUUGAAGACGCCAGGCCAGGCGGGCCCCUCCCCGCGCGACUCCACCUGGCAGCGUCUCGGCGUUGACCCCGCCACGGGCCCGUGUCUAAAACGUAUUCGACCCAAAGGCGCGUUCAGUUUUUCCUCCAGGGGCCUGUUUGCUAAAAAAUCACCGAUAGGUCCCUGAACUUCAACCCUUCGUAUCUCGACAACCGUAACUCCGAUUGAGCCCCCUCCAAGAGAGAACUGUUUCCGCAAUCGUUUCACACUUCUUCCCGAAGUAUUUGUCGACCCCAGGCAAGCCAACCUCUUAUCAUGAGCCCCGAACUUGCAUGUUGACUUUGCUUGCACCUCGUGUGUGUGUUUAGUUGUAGUACUUUCUUGUCUGUUCCGUCUGCUGUUAUUUUAGUCAUGCUAUAUGUUUUUGUUAUCUGUCUUGCAUGCUUAUACCUUCAUGAAAUAAGUUGACAUGCUAGUUUGCUGUUGUUACUGAUAAUAUCAUGCCUCUGUCUAGUUUAAUUUCAUGUUAGUAGUAUCGAUGUUAUGAUAUUCUGUUGCACUAGUGAAAUUACUAGUACUUGUUAUUGCCAUGUUUCGCAUGCUAUCAUUGUUCAUUUGAAAAAGCUUGAUUUUGUUACUGCAUCGGUACGUUGCAUGAUAGUUGUUGCAUUCAUGUUAAAAUGCUCGCAUGAUGAUUAAUGAUGGAGAAGUUAUUAAUAUGACUUAAUAUCAAACCUCCUCCGUCAUCACUGGGAUAUUAUAGUGCCACCAAAUCGAGCAUUCUCUAGUGCAACCACAUUUACCUUGUGGGAGGUCCUAGCUGGGUUUAUUGCCAUGCCUCUCGCCGGUGCCUCCAACUAGGGAAGGUAUGGGUGCGCGUUACCCUGAUCAGGUAGGUGGACAUAAGCCUUGUGUGCCCGGGUUUGGUUUUGAGCUCAUGUCCCCGUUUGGGACCGUUUUGCCAUGACGGUGGCCGUUCGUACCUUUGGUAGGUACGGGGCCACCCAGGACUGAACCCAAAAGGGGUGUUGGUCAAAGUGGCUGGGAGAGUGUCAUGGCAGUAGGUGAGUUUUGUCGGAACAUUGUUGGUCCACAUUAUGGGAGUGCGAAGCCAUGGGUUCUGUGGUGUGGGUAAAUUGCGCUACCUCUGUAGAGUGUAUGUUUAAUCUAUCGAUAGCCGCGUCCUCGGUCAUGGGCACAAGUUCGUAGUAGGUCACACUAUCGGGUAUUGGUCGAAGUGGAGGAUAAACCUGAAAUAACUAAGUUGAUGAUUAAUGUGCAAUAAAAGAAUGUGAUGACUUGGACUAUGGGAAAA